rnacentral:rRNA from 1 species
UCGUGGGGCAGCAGGUCCGUAGCAAUACGGAUGCUGGCGACCGGCAAACGGGUGCGGAACACGUACACAACCUUCCUUCAAGUGGGGGAUAGCCCGGGGAAACCCGGAUUAAUACCCCGUAACAUAAUGAAGUGGCAUCACUUUAUUAUUAUAGCAGCAAUGCGCUAGAAGAUGGGUGUGCGACUGAUUAGGCAGUUGGCGGGGUAACGGCCCACCAAACCUACGAUCAGUAACUGGUGUGAGAGCACGACCAGUCACACGGGCACUGAGACACGGGCCCGACUCCUACGGGAGGCAGCAGUAAGGAAUAUUGGUCAAUGGACGCAAGUCUGAACCAGCCAUGCCGCGUGGAGGAUGAAGGUCCUCUGGAUUGUAAACUUCUUUUACCUGGGAAGAAACCCACAAAUUCUUUUGUGGUUGACGGUACCAGGUGAAUAAGCACCGGCUAACUCCGUGCCAGCAGCCGCGGUAAUACGGAGGGUGCAAGCGUUAUCCGGAUUCACUGGGUUUAAAGGGUGCGUAGGUGGGUUGGUAAGUCAGUGGUGAAAUCUCCAGGCUUAACUUGGAAACUGCCAUUGAUACUAUCAAUCUUGAAUACCGUGGAGGUCAGCGGAAUAUGUCAUGUAGCGGUGAAAUGCUUAGAGAUGACAUAGAACACCAAUUGCGAAGGCAGCUGGCUACGCGGAUAUUGACACUGAUGCACGAAAGCGUGGGGAUCAAACAGGAUUAGAUACCCUGGUAGUCCACGCCCUA